rnacentral:lncRNA from 1 species
CACUCGCUGCGCUCAAGGGGGGUGUUUUUUCACACCCCUGAGCGCAGCAAGUGCAGCGCUGUGAAUUGCCAGUGUAGCCAAGGCCUUAGUGUCUGAGAAUUGGCACCUCUGCAGUAGACUACAGAAGUUUAGUAAGUUCAUUUUGUUGCUUAAACAGCAUGUGUCUGAUACUUUUUAACAUGCCUGGAUGUAAUCCUAGGUGCUGUGCACCUGAAUUGUGAAAAUGCAAUAUUUGCCAGUUAGGUGGCCCCUUGGGGGUUUUGUUGGGCUCUAUUUGGUCAGACUCAGACACUUAGUUAGCUAACACAUUGCUUCAUAACAUUGGGGCAUCCAGACUACAGGAGGAUGGAACAUGUAACCAGAGUUUGCUGCAAAUGGACAAGGGGACUAGAACCUCAGCUGCAUUCAUCAUUAUUGAUUUUGUGCCCAUGCCGGGGAUCUGUUUACCUUGGCAGCCAGCAACUCAGUCGCUAAUUCAAAUAACAAAGCCUUGGCAACUGUGCUAAGUGAGCAUUCGAAUUAGUACUACCAGUAUUCUCCACGUGGCGGCAGCAAAGAAACAUCGCCUGCUUUAGAAAACCCAAAGCUCUCCUUUUCAAUAUGAGUGAGUGGCAGCGCCAGCCCUGGUAGCUUUAUGUGCAACUGUGCUAAUAUCUAUGCAUGUGUAUGCAUGCAUGGGCAUAUUUGUGUUAAUGUCUGAGUGUGUAUGGUAGUGUCUCUGUAUGACCAUGUCUGCUUGUGUUAAUGUCUCUGUGUUUCUCUUUGUGUUGCUCUGGACAAUCCUCAUCUCAAAAAGUUGAUAUUAUUGUAAUGUUGUAAAAUGUCCCCCUUGCUAGAUAUGAAUUGGCAGAAACAAUCAGCAGCCAUUCUUAAUUUUCUUGUUAAAUGUGUAUCUUAAUAUGAUACUAUUUUUGUCAUAAAUUGUAUACCAUAACAUUUGCAAUAGGUGUAAUGUAGCUGGGGAUAAGUGAAGGGGAAAAUCAAACUUAAGGCAUGUCAAGGGUUCAAAAAUGAAGCAUUCAUUAAAGGAAACCCAAAGAAUCAGGAGAAGUUGUUUCAGUGCUAACUGUAAAAUCAAAGUAAAAAGCAUUAAUUGCUGUUGCAGUCCUAACCCUAGCAUUUUCUGACUUUUUGGGGAAUUAAACUAUAUAAACUCGGUGCUUCAAUUUUCUUGCAUUUAAUGUGUAUCAAAUGUACUGUUCCUAGGGUAACACUUCAACCCCCCCUUACACCUGUAGUGAAGCUUUACACUCUUGGCCUGUCUGUUUCCAUGAGUACUCACAGAUUUGAUUCUACCCUUUUGAG